UGUCUAAUGCGGGAUUCGAACCCGGGUCGUAGAAAUUAAUAUUCGACGGCUUAUACCAUUCGCCCACC